CCUACGGGAGGCAGCAGUGGGGAAUAUUGGACAAUGGGCGAAAGCCUGAUCCAGCCAUGCCGCGUGUGUGAAGAAGGCCUUCGGGUUGUAAAGCACUUUCAGUGGGGAAGAAAGCCUUGGGGCUAAUACCCUCGAGGAAGGACAUCACCCACAGAAGAAGCACCGGCUAACUCCGUGCCAGCAGCCGCGGUAAUACGGAGGGUGCGAGCGUUAAUCGGAAUUACUGGGCGUAAAGCGCGCGUAGGCGGUCUGAUAAGCCGGUUGUGAAAGCCCCGGGCUCAACCUGGGAACGGCAUCCGGAACUGUCAGGCUAGAGUGCAGGAGAGGAAGGUAGAAUUCCCGGUGUAGCGGUGAAAUGCGUAGAGAUCGGGAGGAAUACCAGUGGCGAAGGCGGCCUUUUGGACUGACACUGACGCUGAGGUGCGAAAGCGUGGGUAGCAAACAGGAUUAGAUACCCGAGUAGUC
rnacentral:rRNA from 1 species